AAGAUUAUAACAUUGGAAUAGAGAAAAAACAGGACUCGUAAAGAACUGACAUAUUCACGAAUAUUAAGCAAAACGAGAGUUAACUAAAUGGACUGCACUCAGAAAGUUAAAGCAACCUUUUUGACUUUUGCUUGGAAUAUUGCUGAUCCUUGUUUUGUUUUUCAGAGUCAAGGAAACUUAUUCUGAACUAUUUAUGGCCUUUAGCAAUUAAGAAACGUAUACUUCUGUGA